UUUCGGUAGAUUCUUAGUGGCGAACGGGUGAGUAACGCGUGGGCAAUCUGCCCUUCAGAUGGGGACAACAUCCCGAAAGGGGUGCUAAUACCGAAUACGAUCAUAAUUCCGCAUGGGAUUAUGAUGAAAGAUGGCCUCUAUAUAUAAGCUAUCGCUGAAGGAUGAGCCUGCGUCUGAUUAGCUAGUUGGUGGGGUAACGGCCUACCAAGGCGAUGAUCAGUAGCCGGUCUGAGAGGAUGAACGGCCACAUUGGGACUGAGACACGGCCCAAACUCCUACGGGAGGCAGCAGUGGGGAAUAUUCCGCAAUGGACGAAAGUCUGACGGAGCAACGCCGCGUGAGUGAUGAAGGUUUUCGGACUGUAAAGCUCUGUUGUUUAGGACGAAAGUACCUGUUGCAAAUAGUUGCGGGUAUUGACGGUACUGAACGAGGAAGCCACGGCUAACUACGUGCCAGCAG
rnacentral:rRNA from 1 species